rnacentral:lncRNA from 1 species
AAUUAGAAACAUCUCCCAUCAAUCACCCAGAAUACAACAAAAUAUGACCCCCAACAAUUCUCAACCAGAAGUUCCGAGCCAGGGGUCAUGCACACUGAGGUAUGUCUCAUGCUUGUCAGAAUUUCAUCAUUUAUCAGAAUCGUUGCUGAGUUACAAUUUCUCAACCUUGUCCUAUUAAUCCCAGGCCAGCCCAGUUGUCCUGGAUUUCCUUUCCCAUGUUCCAAGUACAAUACAUUCACAUUUGAUCCUUCCCCCGAUGCACCAGGACUCAACCAAUAUUAGGU